rnacentral:lncRNA from 1 species
UCUCAAUCUCUACAAAAAUCGCCCUAACUAUUUCCCAACUAAUUCUUCAAUGUAGCAUGGGCAGACCCAACUCAGUUAGUUGUUGUAUUUUCAAGGUGUCUAACCUGAUCGAUCCAAGCACAAACAAUUUUCUCCUUCACCUGAUCUAGAAUUGUGCUUUCAACAUAUUUCAAUAAACUAGGCUAUUUUUCGCACAUUUUCUUGAAAUGCAUAACGAAAUUAACAUAUAAUUCUUUAAUGGAAGAAUUUACUAUUUGAUUCCAUGCAUCCAUUAUUUU